GAUGAACGCUGGCGGCGUGCCUAAUACAUGCAAGUCGAGCGAACAGACGAUGAGCUUGCUCCUCUGACGUUAGCGGCGGACGGGUGAGUAACACGUGGAUAACCUACCUAUAAGACUGGGAUAACUUCGGGAAACCGGAGCUAAUACCGCAUAAUAUAUUGAACCGCAUGGUUCAAUAGUGAAAGACGGUUUUGCUGUCACUUAUAGAUGGAUCCGCGCCGCAUUAGCUAGUUGGUAAGGUAACGGCUUACCAAGGCGACGAUGCGUAGCCGACCUGAGAGGGUGAUCGGCCACACUGGAACUGAGACACGGUCCAGACUCCUACGGGAGGCAGCAGUAGGGAAUCUUCCGCAAUGGGCGAAAGCCUGACGGAGCAACGCCGCGUGAGUGAUGAAGGUCUUCGGAUCGUAAAACUCUGUUAUUAGGGAAGAACAAAUGUGUAAGUAAAUAUGCACGUCUUGACGGUACCUAAUCAGAAAGCAACGGCUAACUACGUG
rnacentral:rRNA from 1 species